rnacentral:rRNA from 1 species
GACGAACGCUGGCGGCGUGCUUAACACAUGCAAGUCGAACGGAAAGGCCCUGCUUUUGUGGGGUGCUCGAGUGGCGAACGGGUGAGUAACACGUGAGUAACCUGCCCUUGACUUUGGGAUAACUUCAGGAAACUGGGGCUAAUACCGGAUAGGAGCUCCUGCUGCAUGGUGGGGGUUGGUAAGUUUCGGCGGUUGGGGCUGGACUCGCGGCUUAUCAGCUUGAUAGUCGGGUAGUGGCUUACCAAGGCUUUGACGGGUAGCCGGCCUGGGAGGGUAGCCGGCCACAUUGGGACUGAGGUAGGGCGCAGACUCCAACGGGCCGCAGCAGUGGGGAAUAUUGCACAAUAGGCGGGAGCCUGAUGCAGCAACGCCGCGUGCGGGAUGACGGGCUUCGGGUUGUAAACAGCUUUCGCCUGUGACGAAGCGUGAGUGACGGUAAUGGGUAAAGAAGCACCGGCUAACUACGUG